UACAGAGGGCCCGAGCGUUGUUCGGAUUCACUGGGCGCAAAGGGGGCGUAGGCGGUUCUGAAAGGCUGAUGUGAAAUCUCCAGGCCCAACCUGGAAACUGCAUUAGAAACUACAGGGCUAGAGGCUUGGAGGGGGAACUGGAAUUCUCGGUGUAGCAGUGAAAUGCGUAGAGAUCGAGAGGAACACCAGUGGCGAAGGCGAGUUCCUGGACAAGUCCUGACGCUGAGGCACGAAAGCCAGGGGAGCAAACAGG
rnacentral:rRNA from 1 species